UAGGGAAUCUUCGGCAAUGGGGGGAACCCUGACCGAGCAACGCCGCGUGAGUGAAGAAGGUUUUCGGAUCGUAAAGCUCUGUUGUUAAGGAAGAACGAGUGUGAGAAUGGAAAGUUCAUACUGUGACGGUACUUAACCAGAAAGGGACGGCUAACUACGUGCCAGCAGCCGCGGUAAUACGUAGGUCCCGAGCGUUGUCCGGAUUUAUUGGGCGUAAAGCGAGCGCAGGCGGUUAGAUAAGUCUGAAGUUAAAGGCAGUGGCUCAACCAUUGUAGGCUUUGGAAACUGUUUAACUUGAGUGCAGAAGGGGAGAGUGGGAUUCCAUGUGUAGCGGUGAAAUGCGUAGAUAUAUGGAGGAACACCGGUGGCGAAAGCGGCUCUCUGGUCUGUAACUGACGCUGAGGCUCGAAAGCGUGGGGAGCGAACAGGAUUAGAUACCCUGGUAGUCCACGCCGUAAACGAUGAGUGCUAGGUGUUAGGUCCUUUCCGGGACUUAGUGCCGCAGCUAACGCAUUAAGCACUCCGCCUGGGGAGUACGACCGCAAGGUUG
rnacentral:rRNA from 1 species